rnacentral:misc_RNA from 1 species
UAUUGUCCAGGGAAGAAAAGAAAUGCACAACCACAAGAAGCUGUCUGGCAAUUGAAAACACAAGCAUCAACAGUAACAUUCUAGAUUAUGCCAGUAAAAUAGGGUUUAAAAGUAUUCAUUAUUUCACGAUAAUAUGCCUAGGAAACCUUCACAAAGUGUAAGAUCUUAUGGAGAUUGUCAUCAUCUCUACUUCCCAAAAACAAAUUGUA